rnacentral:rRNA from 1 species
AGCGAACGCUGGCGGCAGGCCUAACACAUGCAAGUCGAACGGAUCCUUCGGGAUUAGUGGCGGACGGGUGAGUAACACGUGGGAACGUGCCCUUUGGUUCGGAACAACUCAGGGAAACUUGAGCUAAUACCGGAUGUGCCCUUCGGGGGAAAGAUUUAUCGCCAUUGGAGCGGCCCGCGUCUGAUUAGCUAGUUGGUGAGGUAACGGCCCACCAAGGCGACGAUCAGUAGCUGGUCUGAGAGGAUGAUCAGCCACACUGGGACUGAGACACGGCCCAGACUCCUACGGGAGGCAGCAGUGGGGAAUCUUGCGCAAUGGGCGAAAGCCUGACGCAGCCAUGCCGCGUGAAUGAUGAAGGUCUUAGGAUUGUAAAUUUCUUUCAGCGGGGACGAUAAUGACGGUACCCGCAGAAGAAGCUCCGGCUAACUUCGUG